rnacentral:rRNA from 1 species
AGAGUUUGAUCCUGGCUCAGAACGAACGCUGGCGGCGUGCUUAACACAUGCAAGUCGAACGCGAACGAGUUCUUCGGAACUUUAGUAGAGUGGCGCACGGGUGGGUAACGCGUAAGUAAUCUACCCUCGCAUUUGGGAUAACCCACCGAAAGGUGUGCUAAUACCAGAUACGUCUAAGAUAAUAUCUUUUUUUUAGAGAAAGGUGGCCUCUGAUUCAAGCUACUGUGCGAGGAGGAGCUUGCGUACCAUUAGCUAGUUGGUAGGGUAAUGGCCUACCAAGGCAACGAUGGUUAGCGGGUCUGAGAGGAUGAUCCGCCACACUGGAACUGAAACACGGACCAGACUCCUACGGGAGGCAGCAGUGAGGAAUAUUGCGCAAUGGGGGCAACCCUGACGCAGCGACGCCGCGUGGAUGAUGAAGGCCUUCGGGUUGUAAAAUCCUGUCAGAUGGGAAGAAGUGCUAUACGGUUAAUAUCUUUAUAGUUUGACGGUACCAUCAAAGGAAGCACCGGCUAACUCCGUGCCAGCAGCCGCGGUAAUACGGAGGGUGCAAGCGUUGUUCGGAAUUACUGGGCGUAAAGCGCGCGUAGGCGGUCUGUUAUGUCAGGUGUGAAAGUCCAUGGCUCAACCAUGGAAGUGCAUUUGAAACUGACAGACUUGAGUACUGGAGGGGGUGGUGGAAUUCCCGGUGUAGAGGUGAAAUUCGUAGAUAUCGGGAGGAAUACCGGUGGCGAAGGCGACCACCUGGCCAGAUACUGACGCUGAGGUGCGAAAGCGUGGGGAGCAAACAGGAUUAGAUACCCUGGUAGUCCACGCCGUAAACGAUGUGAACUAGGUGUUGGGAUGGUUAAUCGUCUCAUUGCCGGAGCUAACGCAUUAGUUCACCGCCUGGGGAGUACGGUCGCA